GUUAUUAGAAUGUAGGUUGCCAACUUUUUUCUAGUAAGACUUCUGUGCCUUCAACGGCUGUGUUGCAAGCAGGGAUUCAGCAGGCACAUUUCCCAUGAAUGCAACUGCGUACAUGCGAAAGCUUCAUUAGCUCGAUUGAUCGCGAAGCUGUUAAGAUGCACAAAAGCGAACCCAGCUUAAAAAAAAAAGUUGGCAACAGUAUUAGAAUGUGAUCUUGUGUGUACGCAUUUAGAAUUGACAUCUGUGCUAUAUGAGGAGAAAGUAAUGGAUGUACUCAAGUGUCUAGAUACAUAUGGCUUUGUAGGACCCAGAGGAAAUUGCUGCGGUGUGCAAGCACAAGACAGUGGAGUUGAAUCAGGAAUAUUAAUGGUUUAAUGAAAUAGAUAUUAUUUACAGAGAGACAAGUGCAGUCUGCCUUCAGUACUCUUGCUGCAGGUUUGUUAGCCCGCCUCUACUCCAUAACUGGAAUAAAAGUAGCUAAAGGACAAUUCAAAAGCUGGCCUGGCUCAAUGAAUGGAUUAACCAGAAACACCACAGGCUUAACUGUUACAGGCAGAAGAGGCUGUAAGAGAGGCCGAAGUACUUUCAAAGUGUCCUUGUAUUGGCAGAGAACUUGAACCUAUUCGCCUCUCUCAUCCUUGGUGAGGACUAAUAUAAACAGGUCUUUCACUAACAGCUAGUAGCUACGUUUCCCAGAGAUCCGUCGUUGGACAAGCCGGAUGUAAAGAUUAGGCGGGGCCAUGAACAGCGAAUGGAAGGGGCUUUAGCGCUCAGUCUGAUGAGUGGAGACAACGCCGCUGAAGGGUCUGUAAAACUGUGGAAGUGGAACUACUUUUCCCGGCACUCCACGCGUCGCAGGCGGAAGCGAGGUGUGCUCCCUGCUAUUUGCAAGAUGCCUAGUGUUCCGUUCCUGCCAUUUGCAAUUCUGCUGGGAACUCUUGGAGUUCUAUGUGUGGGUCUCACAAGCUUCUGGAGCCAGCAUUGGCUUGGUGGCUUUGCCUGGGAUGGUUCUUCAAAGAUGUUCAACUGGCACCCAGUUCUCAUGGUGACAGGCAUGUUGGUCUCAUAUGGCACAGCAGCACUGGUGUAUCGUGUACCCCUCACCUGGGAGGGGUCCAAGCUCCCAUGGAAGUUGCUGCAUGCAGCACUGACCUUGACAGCAUUUAUCCUAGUUGUACUGGGAUUGGUGGCUGUGUUUGAAUUCCAUAACAAGAAGAAUAUUGCCAACAUGUACUCACUGCACAGUUGGGUCGGGCUAACUGCUGUGCUGCUCUUCUCUUGCCAGUGGUUAAUGGGGUUUGCUUGUUUCCUGUUGCCUUGGGCCCCCCUCUGGAUGCGAGCCCUCUACAAACCCAUCCAUGUCUUCUUUGGUUCAUCCAUCCUUUCUUUGGUUGUGGCAGCCUGCAUCUCUGGCAUCAAUGAGAAGCUAUUCUUUGAAUUAAAAAAUGAAUCAAACCCAUAUUCUAACCUUCCUGCAGAGGCCUGGCUUGCCAACAUCUUGGGGGUGCUAAUCUUAGUCUUUGGGCUGUUGGUGGUGUGGGCUCUCGCCACACCAGCAUGGAAACGUCCAGAAGUGAAUUUAGAAGACACCCGAGAGUUGGCCAGAACCAGAGAGAGGGAGUCAAAAUUUAAAUAAUAUAAGCCAGAGAGAGCCAGACCAGAGAGACAGGAGAUGAAAGGGGAAGAAACUGGAAGAAGUGGGAUAGAGAAAGUUGACAAGGAAUUGGUGGAACAGAAAGACAAGCCCUUGCUGCAGGAAGCCAGAUGAAGUUUUCUGAAGCCACUGUAUGGCGCUACCAAGAGGUGGUGUUUCCCACACCUGUGUGACAUCAGUUCUCCAAUGAGAUUGGCAGCUGUCUCCAGUAUGGGAGUCCUUUCUGUGAGAGGCAUUCUUUUGGCAACAAAUUUGUCUCUCUGUUCUCCCAUGUCUACUUGAUAGCCCAGCUUUUGCUGGCUUGAAGUGAUCUUUCUAUCAAUCUUCUGUGGGCUGCUAGACAUUCAGCUGCCUCUCAACAAUCUGUUCCUUACUUGCUGCUGUGCCAUUGUUACAGGAUUCCAAUUUCUUUUGUGUACAAUGUAUGGCUCAUUGGAGACUCUAACAUUUAUCAAGCAAAAUAAAUACUUGCUGAUAA